rnacentral:rRNA from 1 species
UACGUAGGGGCCGAGCGUUGUCCGGAGUUACUGGGCGUAAAGCGCGCGCAGGCGGCUCGUCAAGCCUGACGUGAAAGCCCCCGGCUCAACCGGGGGGGGUCGUCGGGGACUGGCGGGCUUGAGGUCGGCAGGGGUUGGUGGAAUUCCCGGUGUAGUGGUGAAAUGCGUAGAGAUCGGGAGGAAUACCGAUGGCGAAGGCAGGUCUCUGGGCUGACACUGACGCUCAUGCACGGAAGCGUGGGGAGCAAACAGG